rnacentral:rRNA from 1 species
GACAGAGGGUGCAAACGUUGUUCGGAAUUACUGGGCGUAAAGCGCGUGUAGGCUGCUUCGAAAGUCGGAUGUGAAAGCCCUGGGCUCAACCUAGGAACUGCACCUGAAACUACCAGUCUUGAGUGGUGGAGAGGGAAGUGGAAUUCCUGGUGUAGAGGUGAAAUUCGUAGAUAUCAGGAGGAACACCAGUGGCGAAGGCGGCUUCCUGGACACUAACUGACGCUGAGACGCGAAAGCGUGGGGAGCAAACAGG